UGGGGAAUUUUGGACAAUGGGCGAAAGCCUGAUCCAGCAAUGCCGCGUGUGUGAAGAAGGCCUUCGGGUUGUAAAGCACUUUUGUCCGGAAAGAAAUCCUCUGGGUUAAUACCUCGGGGGGAUGACGGUACCGGAAGAAUAAGCACCGGCUAACUACGUGCCAGCAGCCGCGGUAAUACGUAGGGUGCAAGCGUUAAUCGGAAUUACUGGGCGUAAAGCGUGCGCAGGCGGUUUUGUAAGACGGAUGUGAAAUCCCCCGGGCUUAACCUGGGAGCUGCAUUCGUGACUGCAAGGCUAGAGUAUGGCAGAGGGGGGUAGAAUUCCACGUGUAGCAGUGAAAUGCGUAGAGAUGUGGAGGAAUACCGAUGGCGAAGGCAGCCCCCUGGGCCAAUACUGACGCUCAUGCACGAAAGCGUGGGGAGCAAACAGGAUUAGAUACCCUGGUAGUCCACGCCCUAAACGAUGUCAACUAGUUGUUGGGGAUUCAUUCCUUAGUAACGUAGCUAACGCGUGAAGUUGACCGCCUGGGGAGUACGGUCGCAAGAUUAAAACUUAAUGAAUUGACGGGGUCAUAGCUGUUUCCU
rnacentral:rRNA from 1 species